GCAGAAAGUGGCGAACGGGUGAGUAACGCGUGGGUAAUCUACCCUGUAAGUGGGGGAUAACCCUCCGAAAGGAGGGCUAAUACCGCAUAAUAUCUUUUCCUCAUAAAGAAGAGAAGAUUAAAGAUGGCCUCUAUACUAUGCUAUCGCUUCAGGAUGAGCCUGCGUCCUAUUAGUUAGUUGGUGGGGUAAUGGCCUACCAAGACCACAAUGGGUAGCCGGUCUGAGAGGAUGUACGGCCACACUGGGACUGAGAUACGGCCCAGACUCCUACGGGAGGCAGCAGUGGGGAAUAUUGCGCAAUGGGGGAAACCCUGACGCAGCGACGCCGCGUGGAUGAUGAAGGCCCUUGGGUUGUAAAAUCCUGUUCUGGGGGAAGAAAGCUUAAAGGUCCAAUAAACCCUUAAGCCUGACGGUACCCCAAGAGAAAGCUCCGGCUAAUUAUGUGCCAGCAGCCGCGGUAAUACAUAAGGAGCAAGCGUUAUCCGGAAUUAUUGGGCGUAAAGAGCUCGUAGGCGGUCUUAAAAGUCAGGUGUGAAAUUAUCAGGCUUAACCUGAUAAGGUCAUCUGAAACUUUAAGACUUGAGGUUAGAAGAGGAAAGUGGAAUUCCCGGUGUAGCGGUGAAAUGCGUAGAUAUCGGGAGGAACCACCAGUGGCGAAGGCGGCUUUCUGGUCUAUCUCUGACGCUGAGGAGCAAAAGCUAGGGGAGCAAACGGGAUUAGAUACCCCGGUAGUCCUAGCUGUAAACGAUGGAUACUAGGUGUGGGAGGUAUCGACCCCUUCUGUGCCGCAGCUAACGCAUUAAGUAUCCCGCCUGGGGAGUACGGUCGCAAGGCUGAAACUCAAUGGAAUUGACGG
rnacentral:rRNA from 1 species